GGCCUCGCGCGCCCCGUCCUGGGAGACCGAUCUCGCCCUCGCGUUGGCGGCGUCCCCUGCCGGCCGGGCGGCGAUUUGCAGGCCCAGCCGGCGCCGGUUUCACGCGGCGGCUCAACGUUCGCGGAGCCCCACGAGUACCCACCCGCUGGUCAGAUCGGCGGCCGCUGCCGCGGGGAGAAGCAGUAGCGUGUAGGGCGGGCACGCUGGUCCUGCUUCCAGUUGGGCUUCGAUUUUACAUGUGAAGAAAGGAUGUCUCAGAGGAGUUAGAGAAGAGCAAUUAAUAGACAGUGCUAAAGCCUGGAUCUCCUGAAUCCUGGAUGAAAGUGUCAUAAGUUAGAUUCCUGGGAAGAAAAUUCUGAGACACAUUCUGCUGGAUGAUUAUUAGGGCUCAUCCUUGGUUUCAACACCCAUAGAAGGAAGGGGGAAGAAGGAAUCGAACAGAGGAGAGACAGAAGUCGAGAUGCAUUUCAGGCCAGGACUCUUGACUGAACCCACAGGAGCUUUGGAGCUAGAAUGGCCCUUCAGAGUUGUCCUGAGUUGGGCUGAGAUGGCCAGUUCUUUAUAUUCCUGCAUGGGAUAGUCACUGGAUGUCCACCCCAGGAAGCAGUGUGGCCAAGACAGUCCCUGAAAUGCCUGCCAGCACUCCCUAUACCUGGAGCAAUGAGACCAACAUCACAGGGGGAUAUACUGGGUGAGGAUCACAGCAUUCAUCCCAGAAGAUGAGGAUACAGAAUUGGCUGACUGCUACAUUCUAAAUGUCAAUGUUCCCCAAAAUUCAUAUGUUGAAACUUAAUUCCCCAAUGUGAUGGCAUUAGGAAAGGGGGCCUUUGGGAGGGGCUAUAGGUCAUGAGUGGGAUUAGUGUCCAGAGAGCUGCCUUGCCCUUCCACCAUGUGAGGACAUAGUGAGAAGGUGCCAUCUAUGAACGAGGAAGUGGGCGCUUACUACCAGACACCCACUCUUCGGGCAACUUAAUCUUGAAUUUCCCAGCAUCCAGAACUCUGAGAAAUCAAUUUCUGCUGAUUAUAAGCUACCCAGUCCAUAGCAUUUUGUUAAAGCAGCUGAAACUAAACUAAGACAGUGACGUUUUCUGCAACAAAAAGAUAGAGUGAGUCUCUAUAGCAUACCAUGUAACAGAUGUGUUUGGAAAAAUAACCUCAUUGCAUAUGUUUCCUCAAGCUAAAAAGAAUAUCAUAACAACAAAUGAGAAAAUAGUUGGUUUAGAAAUAUUGCACCCUAUGGAGAGAGUAUUUUGGAUUUGGUUUUUUUGUUUUGUUUUUAACUUUUGUUUUAGGUUCAGGGGCACAUAUGCAGGCUGGUUAUAUAGGUAAACUCAUGUCACAGGGAUUUGUUGUACAGAUAAUUUCAUCACCCAGGUACUAAGCCUAGUACCCAAUAGUUGCUCUUUUUCCUCCUCUCCCUCCUCCCACCCUCCACCCUCAAAUAGGCCCCAGUUUGUGUUGUUCCUUUCAUUAUGUUCAUGAAGUUGAGAGAGUGUUUUGAAAAAGAAUGUUGGAAAGCAUUUCCACUGUUAGAUGAUUUUAAGUCAAAAAGUUAUAUAACAGUGUCACCUAUCUAGAUGCACACAAGCAUGGACACAGAAUUGUUUCAUAUGUUUAAAACUUUUCUAGAUCCUUUUGUGGUUCAUAAGCUUGAUGAUUGAGUUUUCACGUCCAUGUGUGAGAUGUGCCUCCCUUGAGCCUUGUUACAAC
ensembl:lncRNA